GAUGAACGCUGGCGGCGUGCUUAACACAUGCAAGUCGAGCGAAGCACUUAAGUUCGAUUCUUCGGAUGAAGACUUUUGUGACUGAGCGGCGGACGGGUGAGUAACGCGUGGGUAACCUGCCUCAUACAGGGGGAUAACAGUUAGAAAUGGCUGCUAAUACCGCAUAAGACCACAGUACUGCAUGGUACAGUGGUAAAAACUCCGGUGGUAUGAGAUGGACCCGCGUCUGAUUAGGUAGUUGGUGAGGUAACGGCCCACCAAGCCGACGAUCAGUAGCCGACCUGAGAGGGUGACCGGCCACAUUGGGACUGAGACACGGCCCAGACUCCUACGGGAGGCAGCAGUGGGGAAUAUAGCACAAUGGGCGAAAGCUUGAUGCAGCGACGCCGCGUGAAGGAUGAAGUAUUUCGGUAUGUAAACUUCUAUCAGCAGGGAAGAAAAUGACGGUACCUGACUAAGAAGCCCCGGCUAACUACGUGCCAGCAGCCGCCGUAA
rnacentral:rRNA from 1 species